rnacentral:rRNA from 1 species
CAGUCGCCGCGGUAAUACGAAGGGUGCAAGCGUUACUCGGAAUUACUGGGCGUAAAGCGUGUGUAGGUGGUUGUUUAAGUCUGUCGUGAAAGCCCUGGGCUCAACCUGGGAAUUGCGAUGGAUACUGGGCGACUAGAGUGCGGUAGAGGAUAGUGGAAUUUCCGGUGUAGCAGUGAAAUGCGUAGAGAUCGGAAGGAACAUCUGUGGCGAAGGCUACUAUCUGGGCCAACACUGACACUGAGACACGAAAGCGUGGGGAGCAAACAGGAUUAGAUACCCCGGUAGUCCCUGUCUCUUAUAC